UACGGGGGGUGCGAGCGUUGUCCGGAAUCACUGGGCGUAAAGGGCGCGUAGGUGGUGGCUUAAGCGUGCGGUGAAAGCUCGGAGCUCAACUCCGAGUCGGCCGUGCGAACUGGGCUCACUGGAGCAUAGUAGAGGCAGGUGGAAUUCCGGGUGUAGCGGUGGAAUGCGUAGAGAUCCGGAAGAACACCGGUGGCGAAGGCGGCCUGCUGGGCUAUGGCUGACACUGAGGCGCGACAGCGUGGGGAGCAAACAGG
rnacentral:rRNA from 1 species